GACGAACGCUGGCGGCGUGCUUAACACAUGCAAGUCGAACGGAAAGGCCCUGCUUUUGUGGGGUGCUCGAGUGGCGAACGGGUGAGUAACACGUGAGUAACCUGCCCUUGACUUUGGGAAAACUUCAGGAAACUGGGGCUAAUACCGGAUAGGAGCUCCUGCUGCAUGGUGGGGGUUGGAAAGUUUCGGCGGUUGGGGAUGGACUCGCGGCUUAUCAGCUUGUUGGUGGGGUAGUGGCUUACCAAGGCUUUGACGGGUAGCCGGCCUGAGAGGGUGACCGGCCACAUUGGGACUGAGAUACGGCCCAGACUCCUACGGGAGGCAGCAGUGGGGAAUAUUGCACAAUGGGCGGAAGCCUGAUGCAGCAACGCCGCGGGCGGGAUGACGGCCUUCGUGUUGUAAACCGCUUUCGCCUGUGACGAAGCGUGAGUGACGGUAAUGGGUAAAGAAGCACCGGCUAACUACGUG
rnacentral:rRNA from 1 species